GAUCAUGGCUCAGGACGAACGCUGGCGGUGUGCUUCACACAUGCAAGUCGAACGAGGUAGCAAUACCUAGUGGCGGACGGGUGAGUAACGCGUGGGAAUCUGCCUUGAGAUGGGGGAUAACGAGCCGAAAGGCUCGCUAAUACCGCAUAUGCCGAAAGGUGAAAGGAGUAAUCCGUCUUAAGAUGAGCCCGCGUCCGAUUAGCUAGUUGGUGGGGUAAAGGCCUACCAAGGCGACGAUCGGUAGCUGGUCUGAGAGGAUGAUCAGCCACAAUGGGACUGAGACACGGCCCAUACUCCUACGGGAGGCAGCAGUGGGGAAUUUUACGCAAUGGGGAAACCCUGACGUAGCGACACCGCGUGAGCGAAGAAGCCCUUUGGGGUGUAAAGCUCUGUCAGCUGGAACGAAAAAAUGACGGUACCAGCAGAGGAAGCAUCGGCUAACUACGUG
rnacentral:rRNA from 1 species